AUUAUUCUCUCUGGGUGAGCAGGCCAGUCAUUUUUGGCCAUCAAAUGAUCACUGAACACUGCAAAAUGUACCCUGAAGUAAAUACUGACUACAGUGACUCUCUGGACACAGGAGGUUGAUGUGUAGGAGUUAUCAUUGAUAAACGUAGCCUGUUAAGGUAUAUCGCAGCCAAAAUCAGAUCACUAAUUUUCAACAAGUUACAGACAACUCUCCCUUGUGCAUUCAACACUCCCAUUAUAUAAUCAUUGAUGACAUCAUGUGGGUGGCACUACGGGAGCUGACCUUCCCAUUGGUUAUCUGGGAAGUCUAAAUCGGAUUGGCCCUUGGAAAUUUCAUUUUUAACAGCCAGAAAGAACCUUCUGGCUGUAGUUCUCGCAACAUAACACCAGGUGGCAGCAUACAGUACAACAUAGCAAU